AUUGAACGCUGGCGGCAUGCUUUACACAUGCAAGUCGAACGGCAGCGCGGGCUUCGGCCUGGCGGCGAGUGGCGAACGGGUGAGUAAUGCAUCGGAACGUGCCCAGUAGUGGGGGAUAGCCCGGCGAAAGCCGGAUUAAUACCGCAUACGACCUGAGGGUGAAAGCGGGGGUCCGAAAGGCCUCGCGCUAUUGGAGCGGCCGAUGUCGGAUUAGCUAGUUGGUGGGGUAAAGGCUUACCAAGGCGACGAUCCGUAGCUGGUCUGAGAGGACGACCAGCCACACUGGGACUGAGACACGGCCCAGACUCCUACGGGAGGCAGCAGUGGGGAAUUUUGGACAAUGGGGGCAACCCUGAUCCAGCAAUGCCGCGUGCGGGAAGAAGGCCUUCGGGUUGUAAACCGCUUUUGUUCGGGAAGAAAUCCUCUGGGCUAAUACCCCGGGGGGAUGACGGUACCGGAAGAAUAAGCACCGGCUAACUACGUG
rnacentral:rRNA from 1 species